CAUGAAGGGCCAGGCUGAUGACCUUNCCUGAUUUUUCGAGAGGUGGUGCAUGGCCGCCGUCAGUUCGUACCGUAAGGCGUUCUGUUAAGUCAGAUNCCGAACGAGACCCUCAUUGCCAUUUGCUAGGCUCUUCUCCGGAAGGGUUGCACUAUGGCGAGACCGCCACUGCUGAAGUGGAGGAAGGAGGGGGCAACGGUAGGUCAGUAUGCCCCGAAUCUCCCGGGCUACACGCGCGCUACAAAGGGCAGGACAAUGGGCUUCGACGCCGAAAGGCGAAGGCAAUCCUGAAACCUGCUCGUACUUCGGAUUGAGGGCUGCAAUUCGCCCUCAUGAAGCUGGAAUCCGUAGUAAUCGCGGGUCAAAAUCCCGCGGUGAAUAUGCCCCUGCUCCUUGC
rnacentral:rRNA from 1 species